CUUGUACACACCGCCCGUCACACCAUGGGAGCGGGUUCUGCCUGAAGUAGUUAGCCUAACCGCAAGGAGGGCGAUUACCACGGCAGGGUUCGUGACUGGGGUG
rnacentral:rRNA from 1 species